rnacentral:rRNA from 1 species
CUGGGCUCAGGAUGAACGCUAGCUACAGGCUUAACACAUGCAAGUCGAGGGGCAGCAUGGUCUUAGCUUGCUAAGGCCGAUGGCGACCGGCGCACGGGUGAGUAACACGUAUCCAACCUGCCGUCUACUCUUGGACAGCCUUCUGAAAGGAAGAUUAAUGCAAGAUGGCAUCAUGAGUCCGCAUGUUCACAUGAUUAAAGGUAUUCCGGUAGACGAUGGGGAUGCGUUCCAUUAGAUAGUAGGCGGGGUAACGGCCCACCUAGUCUUCGAUGGAUAGGGGUUCUGAGAGGAAGGUCCCCCACAUUGGAACUGAGACACGGUCCAAACUCCUACGGGAGGCAGCAGUGAGGAAUAUUGGUCAAUGGGCGAGAGCCUGAACCAGCCAAGUAGCGUGAAGGAUGACUGCCCUAUGGGUUGUAAACUUCUUUUAUAAAGGAAUAAAGUCGGGUAUGGAUACCCGUUUGCAUGUACUUUAUGAAUAAGGAUCGGCUAACUCCGUGCCAGCAGCCGCGGUAAUACGGAGGAUCCGAGCGUUAUCCGGAUUUAUUGGGUUUAAAGGGAGCGUAGAUGGAUGUUUAAGUCAGUUGUGAAAGUUUGCGGCUCAACCGUAAAAUUGCAGUUGAUACUGGAUAUCUUGAGUGCAGUUGAGGCAGGCGGAAUUCGUGGUGUAGCGGUGAAAUGCUUAGAUAUCACGAAGAACUCCGAUUGCGAAGGCAGCCUGCUAAGCUGCAACUGACAUUGAGGCUCGAAAGUGUGGGUAUCAAACAGGAUUAGAUACCCUGGUAGUCCACACGGUAAACGAUGAAUACUCGCUGUUUGCGAUAUACGGCAAGCGGCCAAGCGAAAGCGUUAAGUAUUCCACCUGGGGAGUACGCCGGCAACGGUGAAACUCAAAGGAAUUGACGGGGGCCCGCACAAGCGGAGGAACAUGUGGUUUAAUUCGAUGAUACGCGAGGAACCUUACCCGGGCUUAAAUUGCAGAUGAAUUACGGUGAAAGCCGUAAGCCGCAAGGCAUCUGUGAAGGUGCUGCAUGGUUGUCGUCAGCUCGUGCCGUGAGGUGUCGGCUUAAGUGUCAUAACGAGCGCAACCCUUGUUGUCAGUUACUAACAGGUCCCGCUGAGGACUCUGACAAGACUGCCAUCGUAAGAUGUGAGGAAGGUGGGGAUGACGUCAAAUCAGCACGGCCCUUACGUCCGGGGCUACACACGUGUUACAAUGGGGGGUACAGAGGGCCGCUACCACGCGAGUGGAUGCCAAUCCCCAAAACCUCUCUCAGUUCGGACUGGAGUCUGCAACCCGACUCCACGAAGCUGGAUUCGCUAGUAAUCGCGCAUCAGCCACGGCGCGGUGAAUACGUUCCCGGGCCUUGUACACACAGGCCG